AGCUCCCACACAAUGUGCAGCAACGGAAUCUGGGGGGACCGGCUCUCCGCCUCGGGAUCUCUACGAUGGGAACUGACAUACACUUCACCUACCAGAGAGGAUGAUGACAGCAUCCGAGAUGAAGGAACAGGACCUCAUCCUCAGCCCUGCCACAGAGGUUCCUGCUGUAGCCGUUAGCGGACAUCCAGUUUGAAGGAAAAAGAGGCAUCAUACAGGUGAUUAAGUGUGAUCCAAAACUAUUUCAAAUCUGUUAUUUAAGAUCAACUUAGGAUGAUAAUCCAACCCACUAAACAAUUGAGCCUUCCAGAGAGUCACUGCAAGACUACAUACACUGCCUUAGGUUGGAUUCCUAGCAAUCCCCACAACUACAUGACCUUCAGCAAACUCUUAAUCCAAUCUCCAAUGUGAGGUACAGACAACCUAAUAUCUACCUUGGAGCUGCUGCGCACAACAGUAGCUGAGACGGUGACAUCAGAUACCUAACAGAGGGGUGCACUUAGGAAAGGCCGGGAGCUGCCAUUUCCACAGCCAAGUCAAUGAUAUGGACGUGAGGCAGGCGGUGAAAACCAGGGCGGAGCUUCGUCCCGGGUGAGGAGCAUCCAGCACACUUGAGGUGGGCAGGGAAAGAGAAGUGAGGCAGAAGAGGCAGCAGCAAGGGGCACCUUCCCUGCCUGACCCACUUGUUCUGAAAACCACCUGACCUCUUGUUUUUCUCAAAAAUGACACAAAUUAAUAUAGUCAUUUUAUUU
rnacentral:lncRNA from 1 species